rnacentral:rRNA from 1 species
GUGAACGCUGGCGGUAGGCCUAACCCAUGCCAGUCGAACGGCAGCACAGUAAGAGCUUGCUCUUACGGGUGGCGAGUGGCGGACGGGUGAGGAAUACAUCGGAAUCUACUUUUUCGUGGGGGAUAACGUAGGGAAACUUACGCUAAUACCGCACACGACCUACGGGUGAAAGCAGGGGAUCUUCGGACCUUGCGCGAUUGAAUGAGCCGAUGUCGGAUUAGCUAGUUGGCGGGGUAAAGGCCCACCAAGGCGACGAUCCGUAGCUGGUCUGAGAGGAUGAUCAGCCACACUGGAACUGAGACACGGUCCAGACUCCUACGGGAGGCAGCAGUGGGGAAUAUUGGACAAUGGGCGCAAGCCUGAUCCAGCCAUACCGCGUGGGUGAAGAAGGCCUUCGGGUUGUAAAGCCCUUUUGUUGGGAAAGAAAAGCAGCAGGUUAAUACCCCGCUGUUCUGACGGUACCCAAAGAAUAAGCACCGGCUAACUUCGU